UCUCUGGACAGGACGGGAUUUGAACUUCGCUCUUUUGAUGCACUAAACUGGCUACAUUUUGAAAGAAUAAUCUUCUGAAAUUUAGACCUUAUGUUCAGAAAGAAGUAUCUUUUACUGCAAGAAAAAUACAACAAAAAUUCACUGCUCGAGCCUUUCUUUAGUAAGCCCAAGUGGACAACUUCGGUGUUGAGCACAUCCCUGGGGCCGAGAUAGAGAGAACUCUGGUGAAUUACCGUACACCGAGUCAAAUAUUAGUGACUUAAAAGCAAGAAUAACUUGAUGUCGACCACAGCUCAUAUUUUCCCAGCAACUUUUACUUUAAUUGCUGGGGAAAUGUUAUGGGAAAACUACAGAUAAAUUGCCUCCUUUAUUUACACCCCAUGAACUUGAACUGUAUGUUGAUAAGGGGUUGUUUUCUCCAAGAGCUUUCAACGGCGAGAGACGGUGAUGGUCAACUUCGGAGCCCCUAAAAAGGCACAGGUGUUCUAAAGACAGCUACCUUCUGCUGACUACCUGGUGUGGACCUAGACGAGGGAACCAGCGAUUUGUGAGGCGUUGGGGGUAUACAAGCAGGCGGUGACUAGCUGGUGAACAGCUCCCGCACGAGGUAGUCUAUGGAUUGUGUUUGUUGUCUGUGGAAGUCGCCAAUGGACCAAGGUAGGGGCAAAUUGCUGUAUCCGACCUGCCACUUUUCAUCUAAAACCCUUCAAACACUUUUACCAAAAAAACAAUUUGUGUUCCCCCCCCCAAAAAAAAAAAAAAAAAACACUCAAUCCUUUAUAAAUACUUUGUUACCCGCCUCAAGCAACUGGUAGCAAACGCAAUGAUUGUUGACAACAAUCAAUUAAAUAAACUUUUCCGUGAAAAUCCUUUAAAAAUUCUUGUUACAAAAAAAUCCUUUCAAAGAAACUUUGUUACAAAAAAACAACCUUUCUAACAAUAAAGUAAGGUGUAAAAAUUUACCAAGCAACAAUAAAAGGCGGUCGGAUACCCCAAUUAUGUCAAAAGGAGACAAGACAGAGAAUUGUGGAGAAGACUGCAAAAGGUAGAAGGAGAUCUAACCCGUUUUCUUGCAGAGUCCCACCCCUGUUGUAACGCCCAUGUCCACUACAAGAUGUUCCAGAAAACUUGUUGAUGUUGUCCCUAAAAUGCUUUCAAGGUGAUGUCACACUGUCCAAGGCUUUUUUCUUGAAGUGCAUAUUGGUCGAAGCCAAUGAUGCUUUUAUAAUUAGAAGACUAGUCUUACUGGAUAUUUCUAACGGAGUUGAAACUUCAAGUCGCCAGUUGUCAUUUUAAGAUUAAUUGUCAUGAUUUGUUUUAUUUAUCGCAUUAUUUGUUAUAAAUUAUUAGUUCCAAAUACCAUAUAAAUUGUUAUCUUUAAUUUCAUUUUUAAUAGUUAAGUAAGAUAAAGCAAAAAUAUUUUUUAGGGAUUCCUCAAUUAAAACAAAAUUUCCUUACAACAUUUACUCUGCCUAUAUAGCACCCAAAACCCCAGUAAUCUCAUAAUCAAAAACUACUCUCUAGUAAUAUUUCUGUCCAAUCUGCAUUACGCAUGAAUGUGAUGAUCAAUGUUUGAAAUGAGAGUAGUAAAUAACUAAUUUAGAUUUGCUAAAUUAAUAUUUACAAACUCGUUUCAGCAUUUCAUCAUGUUGACACCAAGUCUCUUACACUCAGAUAGCCUAACUGAAAUUAGUAUAAACAAAAAUCAUAUUUAAUAAUAAUUAUAAUAAUCUGCAUUCAUUUGAUGGUCAAUGUUUGAUUGUCGAGUUGUAAAUAAAUACUUUAGAUUUGCUAAAUUAUUAUUUACAUAUUCGUUUCAACAUUACAUCAAAUUCUGAAUGUUGGCAAGUCCUUACCGUUUAACUUAGAAGACAACCGAAAACAAAAAAUAAUAAUAAUAAAGUAGCAAACAUGCAGUUUUGCAAUUUGCAAAUCUGUUUUAGUUAGGAAAAAUUCCACAAACCACUUUUCUAUUUGGUAGGGCUGUAAACGCAAAGAAGGGGAAAAAAAAUAAAAAAAUGAAAGGGGACCAAGAAAAAGGAUGCGACUUCUCAUUGAUGAAGCAAAGUGGUCCAUAAUGGAAAAAAUUACCCCAACCAUGCCUAUGUAUGUAUUAGUGGUAAGCUAGUGUUGGCCUAGACAGUAAGCUAGUGUUGGCAUAGACAGUAAGACAUAUUUGCCACUGUAUGCUAUCAGGCUAAACUCGUCACUUAAACUCAUUUUACGAAAUGCUAAUCUUGUUAGAUUUAAGUUUCUUUCAAUAUGCAGAUUACGUUUUCUUCUGGACACGAUGAGCUGGUCUAACUGCCAACAUCUUCAGCUAAAACUGAUCUACCAGCAAGGUCAGGGUGAUUAAGGCAUGAACAUGAGCAGAUAUGACCACAUGUUCGAUGUCUCUGAUGUGUGACCUAAGGCCAGCGAGGUCAACGAGCAGUCUUGUGAAGUGAUCAGUGAUGACUACAGCCAGAGCUGUUGCGAGGUUUAUCGGCGGAGGAGGCAGAUAGGAGAAAGUCAACAACAGCCUGCAUGAUUAUUCACCAAAGGUCAACUGUUCAAGAUGUGCUCAGCUGGACCAUGAUGGCGCCCUACUGACUGUAUGAUGAUACUCGAGGAGAAGACUAC